GCGUAAUUAAUUAGUAGAAUGUGAGGAGUCCGAUUGAAGAAUUCCACAUUAAUAUAUGUUAUCCUGUUGUUUAUGAGGCAUUGAUAAAACGAAUAUCAAAUCUUGUUGACAUAAAGGAAAUUUUGUCGUUCAGAUGUGACUUUUGAUAUUUUUAUGGACUUUCAUCAACUAAAGGAAGACGAUAUAUUUAUAAGGAGCAUUCAUCUAUACAUCAACGUUUCUAUAUAAAUAUAAUAUAUGA